rnacentral:lncRNA from 10 species
GGGUGCUGGCCACGCAGGAGGCUUAACCUGGCCGGCGCGGGAAUGGGGUGCAGAGAGCAAAGAAAUGUGGCUUUGAUCUUAUGGAUGCCUUACUUUUACAUUAUUUGUACAGUUCUUGCAGUGAGCUUUCCGGACCACUGUCUUGUAUGUUUCCUAAGAAAAGCAAAAAGGGAAGAGAUUGAAGAGAAAGUAGAUUUUCAACUACAAACUUUCAUCCAUUUGCUUUCAGCUUAAGCAAAUGUGCGCAAAGUUGUCAUGGAUUUUUGCAGUCAAUAAAAACCAAGCAAGAAGACUGAAUCCCAAGUCAUCUGAGGAAAUGCACGCGUGGAAACAGGAGUGGGCAGGGAGGAUGUGACACUGUCCUCCUCACCAGGCCACGUUCCUGGCACCAACCAUAGUGUUUGGGCAGAUAAGAAAAGAAACAAUUUGCUGAAACUCCCUCUGCUUAUAACAAAACUGACUGAAAUCAGCCGGAAUCAAUAUGGCCAAAUGCAGUUUGCGCACAGCAAGCUUGCUGAUGUCACAGCCUGAAUUUCUACUGCAUGUUUCAUACCAACUCCCUCCAAAUUUGCACAUGGGACCCACCAGGAAGCAUGAAGAGAGAGCCAUGCAUGCCUGAAGACUUCCCAGAUGUUCCCUUUGCUUCCACCAAUCACCUGCUAACCCCAGGAUCCAACCCUAAACCUUUUGUAAUAAAAUUACUGCCCUAAAGCCAGUACAAGACAGAUUUGAACUGGACUUUUGUUUCCUCAGAAGUUAACUUGCAAUGUGAAGCUUUCCUUUUCUCAAAAACUUGGUGUCAUAGUGUUGGCUUCUAGUGCAGUGAGCCCCUUUUGCUGGAUAACCUUACCUGGUAAUUUGACAUACUAGGUGGUUAGUAACUACUGACUGUCUCCAGGUUACAACACAGUUAUUACCCACUUGGGUGAAAAGAGAAGACAGGAAAUACAUUUUGGAGUUGGCUGGCAACCUGUUUACAAAGCAAUUUACAACAGUUCCUUAUUCUUAAGGGGCUAUUCUAAUACAAGACCUCAGAGAAACAGUGCAGUGUGACAAAGGAGGAAUUUAUCAAAGGAGACAGAAAAAGCAUCAAGGCAAGCUGUGAAAUGGUGCGGUAGGAACCAAAUAGAGAGCCAAAGGAUCUUUCUGUCACUGCAGGCCCUUAGGGGUAAGCAAAUCCUUCCCUGAUCCCUGGUCUCCUUAUCUGUAAAUGAGAAUACCAGCACCCACCUCACUGUGCUGUAAACAUGAUGAGUUCUAACAAUAAUUUAUAAAUUGUAAAAUCACACAAAUCUAAGAUAUUGCUCUUGUUGCUAUUCUGAUCUUCAUUCC